ensembl:lncRNA
AUACAGCCUUGACGUACUCCUUUUCCUAUUUGGAACCAGUCUGUUGUUACCACUCCCUUUAUCCAAGAAUUCUUUCUUUUCCUUGUAGGUCUAUAUGACAAUAGAAUUGCACUCAGUUAUUAUUACUACAUUUUGAAUUUUAUCAAUAAAGAUUUUAUGGAUAUUCAUCUUCUCUUUGCUUAUAUAAAUACCACCAUAAUAACCUCUUCUUUGCCUCUUGGCCCCCAAAGGCCUAAAAUAUUUACUAUCUGAAAAAGCUUAUUGAUAAGUGCUGUAAAGUAUUAUGAGGAAUUUCUGUUAUUGAUAACAAGCAUAGCCCUUGCUCUCAAGCAAUGGUUGCUGUAAACUAUUUGCUUUUCUUCCCAGUUAUAUUAAGUCUUUGUUUACACUUUUAAUUUAUGUAACACAACACACUUUUCUUCCAAGGAGUAAGUGUCUUUUAAUUUCAUGGCUGCAGUCACNNNNNNNNNNNNNNNNNNNNNNNNNNNNNNNNNNNNNNNNNNNNNNUUCCACUGUUUCCCCAUCUAUUUGCCAUGAAGUGAUGGGACCAGGUGGCAAAAAGAGACAGAAUUACAUUGCCUGGAUGAAUCAUAACAUAAAUUUUAUAGUCUGAAUUGCAAAAUUCAAAAUUUAUGAAAAUUUGAAGGAAAAAAAUGAAAAUUAAAUAAUAAAAGAGGAUUGGAAGAAUCAAGCCAGGAGUAGAGAUGCUAGCUUGUCCCAUGCUCUAAAAGUCCCUCUGAAGGCUUCUGUGAUUGGUGGGCCCUGGAGAUGGUUCUCAGUAAAAAGAGCUUGGUAUUGAUGUGCCAGGAGGCAUCGCGUACACAGGUGUGAAAGUAGGAGCUUCCUUGCUUGCCUCUUAUAGAAAACCAGGCAGUUCUAGCCAUAGUGGUAAUAACAUCUUUAAGGGUAGGGGAAUCUUUAAAAUGAAUCACAUUUUAUUUUGUCUCAGAACGAUUUCAGGUAUGGAUUUCUUUAUUGGAAAUGCAAAAUAUUAAAGUCAUCUUUGGAGGUUACAACUUCCCUUUGUGUAGGUCUAUGAUACACGUUGAUAUCUUCAUUCAAAAAAGAAAGAAAGGAAAAAAGAAUCGGAAAAGAAAGGAAGGGAAAAAAAUUUUCAAGUGUGCAGUGCUCGUUUUUAACAUUUCAACUAUUUGUCUCGCAGUGUGUCUGGAGUGCCUUUGUUAGAGAUUAAUUAGGCAGGUUUGAUUUUCUAAAUGAUAGGAGCCAGAGGAGCUAAGGGGGCGGCUCUCUUCUCCUGGUAGUGGGAAGUCAGGGGGAGAUGAAAGAGAGACUAACCUUUACCUCAUAAUUUCCCUUCCCCUCCUCUCUGUGUAAGCCACAUUAGUCUCUCAGUAAAGGUACUUGGAGAAACUUGCUAAAAUUUUCCCUCAUGCUUGAAAUUUACUUACCCUGGGUGACAGGAAAUGUGGAGUCUUGUGAUGUAGAUUGCUAUACCAGAUGGUCAUCUUAGCACAUGCUAUUUAUGUAGAUCAGCCAUGUGUGUGAGUCACCCAUUUGAGGCUGACCUCAGCCACUGUGAAAUUGGGUUCCAUACCGCUGUUAUUCAUAAAUAAUAAUAAUAAUGGUGUGGAUUAUGCACCAUUUUGAUGCAUACUUAAUGAGACCAUUCCCUUUACACAGUAUUAAAUAUGAAGUUGUUUUCUUUUUCUAAAUUGUCGUUUUUUUACCAGCUGAAUUCCUUG